rnacentral:rRNA from 1 species
UACGUAGGGGGCAAGCGUUGUCCGGAAUCAUUGGGCGUAAAGAGCGUGUAGGCGGCCCGAUAAGUCCGCUGUGAAAGUCCAGGGCUCAACCCUGGGAUGCCGGUGGAUACUGUCGGGCUCGAGUCCGGAAGAGGAGUGUGGAAUUCCUGGUGUAGCGGUGAAAUGCGCAGAUAUCAGGAGGAACACCGAUGGCGAAGGCAGCCCCCU